rnacentral:rRNA from 1 species
UGGACCCGGUGAAUCAUCCAGCGUUCUCGCUGGUGCACUUUGCCGGGCUCAGGCCAGCAUCAGUUUGCCUUGGGGGAUAAAGGCUUUGGGAAUGUGGCUCCCUCGGGAGUGUUAUAGCCCAUUGCACAAUACCCUGGGGCGGACUGAGGUUCGCGCAUCUGCAAGGAUGCUGGCGUAAUGGUCAUCAGCG